AGAGUUUGAUCCUGGCUCAGGAUGAACGCUAGCUACAGGCUUAACACAUGCAAGUCGAGGGGAAACGACAUCGAAAGCUUGCUUUUGAUGGGCGUCGACCGGCGCACGGGUGAGUAACGCGUAUCCAACCUGCCCAUCACUUGGGGAUAACCUUGCGAAAGUAAGACUAAUACCCAAUGACGUCUCUAGAAGACAUCUGAAAGAGAUUAAAGAUUUAUCGGUGAUGGAUGGGGAUGCGUCUGAUUAGCUUGUUGGCGGGGUAACGGCCCACAAGGCGACGAUCAGUAGGGGUUCUGAGAGGAAGGUCCCCCANAUUGGAACUGAGACACGGUCCAAACUCUCGGGAGCA
rnacentral:rRNA from 1 species